rnacentral:rRNA from 1 species
AUUGAACGCUGGCGGCAGGCUUAACACAUGCAAGUCGAGCGAGCGGCGGACGGGUGAGUAAUGUCUGGGAAACUGCCUGAUGGAGGGGGAUAACUACUGGAAACGGUAGCUAAUACCGCAUACCAUCAGAUGUGCCCAGAUGGGAUUAGCUAGUGGGUGGGGUAAUGGCUCACCUAGGCGACGAUCCCUAGCUGGUCUGAGAGGAUGACCGGCCCAACUGGAAAUGAGACCCGGUCCAGACCCCUACGGGAGGCAGCAGUGGGGAAUAUGGCACAAUGGGCGCAAGCCUGAUGCAGCCAGGCCGCGUGUGUGAAGAAGGCCUUCGGGUUGUAAAGCACUUUCAGCGGGGAGGCGUUACCCGCAGAAGAAGCACCGGCUAACUCCGUGCCAGCAGCCGCGGUAAUUC